CCUUCGAUAGCUCAGUUGGUAGAGCGGUGGACUGUAGCGAGUUUACAAUUGUAGAAAUCCAUAGGUCGCUGGUUCAAAUCCGGCUCGAAGGA
rnacentral:tRNA from 1 species